AUACUUUGCAAAACAUUUAACAAAGUAGUGCAAGACCUGUACACGGAAAACUACAAAACAUUGUUGAAAGAAAUUAAAUAA